UACCUGGUUGAUCCUGCCAGUAGUCAUAUGCUUGUCUCAAAGAUUAAGCCAUGCAAGUCUAAGUACGAGCUCUCGUACAGUGAAACUGCGAAUGGCUCAUUAAAUCAGUUAUGGUUCAUUUGAUCGUACAGUUUACUUGGAUAACUGUGGUAAUUCUAGAGCUAAUACAUGCGAGAAGCGCCGACCUCGCGGGAGGCGUGCAUUUAUCAGACCAAAAACCGGCCGCGUCUUCGGGCGCGUUCGCCUUGGUGACUCUGGAUAACUUUGCGGAUCG
rnacentral:ncRNA from 1 species